GAUGAACGCUGGCGGCGUGCCUAAUACAUGCAAGUCGAGCGAACGGACGAGAAGCUUGCUUCUCUGAUGUUAGCGGCGGACGGGUGAGUAACACGUGGAUAACCUACCUAUAAGACUGGGAUAACUUCGGGAAACCGGAGCUAAUACCGGAUAAUAUUUUGAACCGCAUGGUUCAAAAGUGAAAGACGGUCUUGCUGUCACUUAUAGAUGGAUCCGCGCUGCAUUAGCUAGUUGGUAAGGUAACGGCUUACCAGGGCAACGAUGCAUAGCCGACCUGAGAGGGUGAUCGGCCACACUGGAACUGAGACACGGUCCAGACUCCUACGGGAGGCAGCAGUAGGGAAUCUUCCGCAAUGGGCGAAAGCAUGACGGAGCAACGCCGCGUGAGUGAUGAAGGUCUUCGGAUCGUAAAACUCUGUUAUUAGGGAAGAACAUAUGUGUAAGUAACUGUGCACAUCUUGACGGUACCUAAUCAGAAAGCCACGGCUAACUACGUGCCAGCAGCCGCGGUAAUACGUAGGUGGCAAGCGUUAUCCGGAAUUAUUGGGCGUAAAGCGCGCGUAGGCGGUUUUUUAGUCUGAUGUGAAAGCCCACGGCUCAACCGUGGAGGGUCAUUGGAAACUGGAAAACUUGAGUGCAGAAGAGGAAAGUGGAAUUCCAUGUGUAGCGGUGAAAUGCGCAGAGAUAUGGAGGAACACCAGUGGCGAAGGCGACUUUCUGGUCUGUAACUGACGCUGAUGUGCGAAAGCGUGGGGAUCAAACAGGAUUAGAUACCCUGGUAGUCCACGCCGUAAACGAUGAGUGCUAAGUGUUAGGGGGUUUCCGCCCCUUAGUGCUGCAGCUAACGCAUUAAGCACUCCGCCUGGGGAGUACGACCGCAAGGUUGAAACUCAAAGGAAUUGACGGGGACCCGCACAAGCGGUGGAGCAUGUGGUUUAAUUCGAAGCAACGCGAAGAACCUUACCAAAUCUUGACAUCCUUUGACAACUCUAGAGAUAGAGCUUUCCCCUUCGGGGGACAAAGUGACAGGUGGUGCAUGGUUGUCGUCAGCUCGUGUCGUGAGAUGUUGGGUUAAGUCCCGCAACGAGCGCAACCCUUAAGCUUAGUUGCCAUCAUUAAGUUGGGCACUCUAAGUUGACUGCCGGUGACAAACCGGAGGAAGGUGGGGAUGACGUCAAAUCAUCAUGCCCCUUAUGAUUUGGGCUACACACGUGCUACAAUGGACAAUACAAAGGGCAGCGAAACCGCGAGGUCAAGCAAAUCCCAUAAAGUUGUUCUCAGUUCGGAUUGUAGUCUGCAACUCGACUACAUGAAGCUGGAAUCGCUAGUAAUCGUAGAUCAGCAUGCUACGGUGAAUACGUUCCCGGGUCU
rnacentral:rRNA from 1 species